GACCUGGUGGCGAAUGGUAUCGCGCCCGCACCCGGUAGCUCAUCCCCCCACUUUCUAGCGCGGGAGAGGUUGGUUCGAAUCCAGCCCCGGUCG